GAUGACGAGGUAGAUAGGUCUGGAGUGUAAGCAUAGUGAUAUGUUAAGCGGACAGAUACUAAUCGGUCGAGGGCUUAACCAAAA
rnacentral:rRNA from 1 species